ensembl:snoRNA Snord4a small nucleolar RNA Z17
GGUGCAUGUGAUGACACCAUUUAGCGACCAAAGUCUGAAUCAGAUGAUUGCUUUUUACUGUCUGAUGCACC